AAGUUAAAGUUGGAAAGGACUAUACAGGAUCGUAGUCCUUAUUGAGUAACCGUUUUGCCAAAGAACCUCAUGCAAAGACUCGCCCUUAUUUUCCCAGCCAGGUUUUGUGAGCGAACAUAAAAAAUGUUUUUUUUAAAAAAAAAAAAAACUAUGAUAAAUCCGUAAUAUAGGCAAAAUAGGCAGCAGCAUCCAAGGCUCGUUCGGGGAGCGUUUAGUCCAUGAAAGAGGGCCCAAUCUUGAGCAAACAGGAACCUGGCUGCAUCAGCAUCCGAGGACCAGGAGCGGGAAGGAAAACGGCACUGAGGGAGAAAAGGAGAAAAGGAGAAGGGAGAAGCGGCUGCCUAGAACUCCUCCUUGGGCUGGCUGAUUUUCUUCCGUUUGGGACUGAGGUCUUGGCUAGAAGAGAAAUCCAGAGGAUAAACCUGGAGGGGGAAAAAAGCCAAAAAGAGAUGCAUAUAAAUGCAUAUAUAUGAAUACGAAUUGUUUCGGGAGAAUUCCCUCUUCCUCCUCCUCCCUUUUAUUGUUCUCUUUUCAUUGAUUGCAAAUAAACUGUUUGGUCUUGGCUGGA